UACAGAGGGUGCGAGCGUUAAUCGGAAUUACUGGGCGUAAAGCGUGCGUAGACGGUUAUUUAAGUCGGGUGUGAAAAGCCCCCGGGCUCAACCUGGGAAUUGCAUUCGAGACUGAAUAGCUAGGGUACGGUAGAGGGAAGUGGAAUUUCCGGUGUAGCGGUGAAAUGCGUAGAUAUCGGAAGGAACAUCAGUGGCGAAAGCGACUUCCUGGACCAGUACCGACGUUCAGGCACGAAAGCGUGGGGAGCAAACAGG
rnacentral:rRNA from 1 species